rnacentral:rRNA from 1 species
UACGUAGGGGGCAAGCGUUAUCCGGAUUCAUUGGGCGUAAAGAGCGCGUAAGCGGAUUGUUAAGCGCGAUGUGAAAACUGGGGGCUCAACCCGCAGCCUGCAUCGCGAACUGGCAGUCUUGAGUCUGGUAGAGGAGUGUGGAAUUCCCAGUGUAGCGGUGAAAUGCGCAGAUAUUGGGAGGAACACCGGUGGCGAAGGCGGCACUCUGGGCCACGACUGACGCUGAGGCGCGAAAGCUAGGGGAGCAAACAGG